GCAGUGGUAGCUCAGUGGUUAAGACGUUGGGCUACUGAUCAGAAAGUCAAUGAGUUCAAAUCCCAGCACCGCC